GGAUGGGAAGGGGGCUCGCGGGGGCCGGGGGCUCAGGGGGGGAGUGAUGGCUGAUGGGGGCUUUUAGGGGGGUGAGAAUGUUCGGGAACUAGGCUGAGGUGAUGGUUGCACAAUUUUGCAAAUGUGCCAAAUACCACAGAACUGUUCGCUUCGGGCGCGUGACGUGUAGCACGCCAGUGGUACCGGACGGACGGGGCUCAGCAGCUGCGAGAGCCAGCCCGUGGCCCUGUCAGCCUGGACGGGGCGCAGGUGCCAGCCAGGGCCGGCCACGCUUCCUGGCCACGGCAGGUCAGUGGCAGAGAGCUCUGUGCACAAACACAGAGCAGGAAGCCGGGGAGCAUGUGAGAGUCUGCCACGCCGCAGAUCGAGAGCUGAGCCGGGGACCGUGCUUUGAAAAAUACCGGCAACAGGAAACAAGGCAUUCUAGAAAACACCUCGCUCACAGGAGGCGCUGGGGGGAGCAUGAAGUCAGCAGCAGCCCCCAUGCUCUGCCGUGGCUGACCUCCGGAGCCAGGAACAUCCCCUUACAGCCUUUGCACCUGGCAGCGGUUCUGUCCCAGGGGUCACGGGGCCAUGUCUGGGGACGUCUGUGGUUGUCACAAUGCGGUGCUCCUGGUGUCCAGUGGCUGGGGCCAGCGGGGCUGCUCAGCCCGCACGGUGUCUGAGACGCCCUCGAGAAUGAUCCAGCAUGCUGGGGGGACAGACCCUGGUCUAGAGAGACUCUCGCCAGGUGGGUGCAGGAGGAAACAUCUAGAAUGUUCUAGGAGUACCGUCUCUACGGAUGAACAGCUCCAAGCACCUUCACAUCCUCAAAGGCCACCUGAUCUGUGUUCCUGUCAUGUGAUGGAGCAUGACCCAGCAGUCACACCGCGGGAUUCAAGGGCCUCACUUCCCCUUCGUGAGAGGAAGCUCGAGGGCUCUCAGGACCCCCCUCCUGGUGGUCGUGCCCUUGGGAGCCAGAUCCUGCCACCACGCACGGAAGGCUGAAAGCGGCUCGGGGGAGACGCCGGCCCCGCAGACACCUUGCCAGCAGCCUGAGCGGGGACCCAGCGAAGCAGGGCCUGACUCCGACCCCUGGGAACCGUGAGACAGCAGACGCGUGCCGCCGCAGGGGUUUUGUUUUGGUGACUUGUUACGCAGCAGGAGCUGACGGACACGGCUACCUCGUUCUCAGCAACAAACGCUAACGGGGCAGCUCGGGGAGCUGUGUGUGUGUGAGCUCUCCUUCACGCAGUGCCGGCUGAGCUUCAGACUGUGACCCCCCCUCCCCCGCUCCCCAAGGGCUCUUCCCUGCACCUCCAGGCUGUCCCCCGGCUCCGGAGGCGUUCAGCAGAAGGCGCUGUAUGCUCCAGCGGCUGAGACUUUAACGUUUGGCUCAUCUUUUCUGCUUUUACUGCUGUGGUGGAGCCCUGACAGGUAUUUUCUGGUUCUUAUCUAUUUUAUUUAUUUUAGUUUUAAAGAUUUUAUUUAUUUAUUAGAGAGAGAGAGCGCACAAGCGGGGAGCAGCAGGCAGAGGGAGAAGCAGGCUCCCCGCUGAGCAGGGAGCCCGACGUGGGGCUCGAUCCCAGGACCCUGAGAUUAGGACCUGAGCCGAACACAGACGCUUCACCGACGGAGCCCCCCAGGCGCCCCUGCUUUUAUGUUUUAAAUUCACCAACAAGGAGUGAGUCUGAGGAACCGGAGGCCCCCACCCUCGACCCCGUUAAAAGCAGAACGCCAGGCCUGUGCUCCCUCCCUCCCCACGGUGUGUGAACUCGGCGUGCCGUGGACUUUCCAGGUCCUGUGGGGAAUGCAUCUGUUUUGCAGGGUUUCCUGAUGGUUGUUGCUGAACAGCGUCUUGUGAUGAUAAGAACCGUCAGGACCCGUCCAGCCACGACGUUGGCUAUGGGCGGGCUGAGAGCAGCACGGCACGCACCAUUCUGGUUAGAGGCGGCAGCGUGUACAAUUUUUGCGUUAUUUGGAUAGAAAUCACACACUGUUACGCUGGAAGUGCACAGCUCGGGGCUGUACGUUCAGAGCUGUGCAAGCAUCACCGCUGCCUUUGUUUGAAACGAAGAAAGUGUGAAGGCUUUGGUUUGACACCUCUGUGAGGUUCUCGUGUUUUAACCGGAGAGUCAGCCUGUAUCUCCACUCCAGGUGGGGGCCCACUUUUUCUGUAAAAGCCUGGACUGUCUCUUUUUAGCUCUCUGGGGCUAGGGGUCUCUUUCUAGCUGCUCCGCUCUGCCACUGUAGUGAAAGAGUGCCCCAGAUCCCAGGCAGAUGAAUGAGCAGAGCUGUGUGCCAAUAAAGCUUUAUUUAUAAGCUCCAUUUAGCCACUGAUCCAUGACCCGUGUGUUUAAUUUCCGGGACCUAAUCUUGUGUUAUGCUUUAAAAUAGUCAUCCCUGGGGCGCCUGGGUGGCUCAGUUGAGCAUCCGGCUCUUGAUUUCAGCUCAGGUCAUGACCUCAGGGUUGUGGGAU